GGACACCAAGUGCUUGUCAGGAUCCCACAAUGGCCCAGAUGAUGGCUCUCCUGGUGCUCCUCUCUUAUGGUUCAGUGGUGGAUUCUCAGACCACGGUGAUCCAGGAGCCCUCACUCUCUGUGUCUCCAGGUGGGACUGUGACUCUCACCUGUGGGCUUAGCUCCGGGUCAGUCUCUACAGGUCACUACCCCGGCUGGUACCAGCAGACACCAGGACGUGCUCCCCACACACUCAUCUACAACACAAACUCCCGUCCCUCUGGGGUCCCUGCUCGAUUCUCUGGUUCCAUCCUUGGAAACAAAGCUGCCCUCACCAUCACAGGGACUCAGACUGAUGAUGAAGCUGAUUAUUACUGUGCACUCUAUAUGGGUGGUGGAAUUCACACAGUGAUCUAA